GUAACUACAGUUGUGGAAGGGUUACCCUUGUGAAUCAUUCAAUAUAACAGCAUGUUCAAGUGUUCAUUAAUUGUGUUGUCAUCAUGUUUUUAAUCAAUUAACUUGAACUAUACUUUAACUGAUUUACUGUACAUUACGAUUAGCAUGUUCAAGUUCCAGCAAUUAUGUCACUAUAAUCAAUUUUAAAUGUUUCACUAACAAGCUUUAUUCAUCUCGUCUGGUUCAAGCCUUUUUCCUACUUCUUCAUCUUUAUAUCUUCUGCUUCAAGUUUGUUAUCUUUUGCCACGCUUUUUUUCGUGCUUUUUUUAUUAUGUGCUUCAUCAUGUCUUGGUUAGUUAAACAAUUAACCAGUAAUCAUCGUAAAAUCAACCUAGAAUCAACAAUCAACUGACAAACAAUCUCUUCAUUAAUAUUCAAGACCAUCCUGACCUUUUACCUGAGUUAUUGGCUUAAACUUUUGGCCUUUCUUUUGUUGCUGAUAGAUUAAAAAGAUUGCCUCUUUUCAUAACCUACUCUGAGACGUCCCUUAUGUUACCAGAAAUGAUAACUUUAAUAUUAUUACCUUUAUUAUGCUGAUGAUGAUUAUUUGGCUACAUCAACUGGAAUCAAUUGUUGGUACACAAAAAAAAGAGAUAAAAAGUUUACAGUUAACCGGUCACCUGGUUACCCCCUUACCAUAUGAUGUCUACACUGGAAAAUAUUGAGGCCAAAGGUGAAUAAGGAAGAAGAAGCAAGAAGGAAAAAAACCAAGUCAAAGAAGAUGUUAUGAGUUCCUUACGAGGAGUCGAAAGAGGUCACAUUAAAAAUAGUCUAACGGGUCUUAACCUUUGUUACCGUUAUUUUAUUACAAUGGCCUUUAUACUUUGCUCAACAGCUAUUCCUAUGGUUAUUAUCAUAGUUAUUAUUAUCGUAAUAAUUUCUUUUCCUUCUUCCAUCUUUUUUCCCCUGUCUUUGUUCAAAAUUGAAAUUAUUCACAUCACGUUGUACGUGCUGAGAACUUCAAUUAUAAUUUUGUUAGUUAAUAUUUUCAUGUUAUUCAUUGACAAAACAAAAUAGUAGAGAAACAAUGAAUCUAAAAUGGUUAUCUAAUUUUAUACCUAAAGUUUCAUUAGCCAUGGAAUCAGCAGUUUCCAAAGUUGACUGUAACAACACUAAUAAUCAAAGGUUGCUGGAUUAACCUUUAAUUAUACAAUUUACAACCAUCAACUCAUCUAUUAAUAUUUUAGCAACUGACAAAAAAAUAUUAUCAAGAAGUUUAGAUUAUUUCAAGAUUUCCAAAGAUUCAAUGUUUCUGUUUUUCAAAUUUGUAUAUUUUUCCUUUGCUUCUAAGUUUAUUUAAAGUUUAUAUUUAGGAAAAUGUUUCCAGCAAAUGUUUAGGUCAAGGUCAGGUUAGGUAAAAGGAAGCGUUGAGAAAAGUCGAGCGAACAGUUGAUCUGCGGAAACUAAUUUUACCUGGAAGACAUAAGGCAUAUGUUCAAAUGUUGUUAAGAUGUUGGAACCAGCAAGUUUAAAGACAGAAGAAGAAGGAGAAGAAGAAGGAGAAGAUAAAGAUGAAGAUGAAGUUACAUAUGAAGGUUUUGCUUGACCUAAGAGUAUAUGUUUACUGUAUGUUUCAAGAGAUUGGGUAAAGGUUAUGAGUUGUAAAAGGAUGAUGUUGUUCUUGAUGGUUGAUGUUUUUGCAGAAGAUGAUGAUAAAGCUGGUGAUGAUGAUAGUAAACUGAUUGUGGACUGAUUAACUCAUUGGAGAGGAACCAAACAACAGAGUAAAGCAACAAUAUCAACAAAACCAAGCCCAAAGCGAAUAACAGGAAACAGCAAUGUGAAAACGAUAAGUUAAAUGGGAUCGGAAGGAAAUGAAAUAAUCGUAAUGUCCAUUUGAAACCUUUGAAAGAGUUAAAUAGCUAAAGAGUUAAAGGAGUUUAAAGAUGCAUUUCAAGAGAGGAAAUAAACAACAACAAUCAACAACAAUCAACAACAACAGUUGCAAAAAGUGACAACAUGAAAUUGAUAAAGAAGACGACGGAAAAGAAGAAGAAGAGGAGAAAAUUUUGAGCAACUCUUCCAGUUGUCUAAUUCAAUGGACAAUCCUUUCACUUUUAUUAUACUUUAUGGUUUUUUGACUGGUUCAAUAUGUUCAUGUUUAAGCUUUGACAAAAUUAUGCUCCAUGUUUGGUUGGGGUUGGCCAAGGAAGGUGGUAAAGAAAAGGUUCUUUAAAGGGUUAAGCAAGGAAAACUCUGCAAACCAGCCAAAAAAAAAGAGUUAAGGAAAGGGUUAUCAUAGUGGAUGUUGGUAAAGAAAUGGAUAAAGAAAACGGUAAAGCGUUUUAAACCGGAACUGGAUAUUAAAUGGUCCAUAAUGGGGAUGAAAAAUGAAAAGCAACCCUUUAGACUCACCAACAAAAGUUACAAGACGCAAGGCCAGCAACCAUCGGAAGCCUCCAUUGUGAGGUAAAAUGGCUUCUAGCGUUGUCUAAGAAAACCUUGAAAAAAACAUAAAACCUUAGGUCAACUGGCGAUCAGAAAGGUUAAGGAAGAUAAAGAAGGAGAAGAAGAAAAUGAUGAUGAGAGAGUUUCCGUCUGUCUCGAUAUGAGCAUAUGUUGAGCUCCUUUCGUAUGGUCUUAUGGUUCGUCUUACUACAGUACAAGGUUGGCUAAGAAAGAGAGCUUUAAGUGAGAAGAUGAGAAAAGAAAGAUAAAUAGAAAGAGAGAAAUGGACUUAGGAGAAGAUAAAGAUGAUGGAAAAGAGAAAAGUCCAGUUUUCUUUCGUUUGGACGAAUCUUAGGACAUCUGCUUUGCUAAGAAAGCAUUAAAAAAAGCAAGCUCUGGACCGUCUUAAAAUGAAUCGCUGGUUUUGCUUUUAUUUUCCCAUCGCGUGUUUUUUUUCCUUCGAAGUCCAGAUCAGAGUUUCUUUUCUCAACACGACCAGUUGAACCUCACUCUUGUUAGCUUGGCCUGAGACUCGUUAAGCCUUGCCAUGGACUGUUAGAUGCACACUCAAGUCACCUGACCUCUCACACCAGUACGAGUACAUUGAGAUUGAACUAGAUCCAGGGACUUUGGAAACAACAAAACUAGUCAAAAAAUAAAAACAACUAGCAAAGUCUCAGGAAACUUGAAAAGUCCUCUUUUUUGCUGUAAAAAAGGUAUAACAAGUAAACUUAAAUAAAAAUCUUAAAUUUUGGUUCCCACGUAAAUUAAGGUUGCCUCUCUUUUUACUUCAUCCUCAUCAUCUUCAUCAUCUUCAUCUCUGUGUUACCUUGUUUUUUCACUGUCUUUUUCAUCUUGAUAUGCACCUUUACUUAAGAUUUGCUCUUUUUUUUCAUAUUCAUUUGCGAUUUGCAAUUUACACUUUUUUCACUUAUUACUCUGAACGUGCAAACCUUCAAAUCAGUUUAAUCAGUUUUUUAUGAUUGCAAUUGCAUUUUGACAAAGUUACCUUUAAGAUUGAAAUGGGAAACAAAAAGAGUUACAAUGUUUUGUUUGUUUUAAGUGAACACACAUUUACAUUGAAUGGCAUAGUUAGUUGGUUAAGAUGAUCAGGUUGAUGAAGAUGGUGAGGAGGAGGAUUAGUGAUAAAUGUUCAUCUUUAUCAUUAUUCUUGUAAAAUGUUUGCUACUUUUUUGUUUUGUGAGACAAAAAUGGUUUACCGUGAGAAAUUAAGCCACAAAAUUAACGCAAUUGCAUUCUUGAUUAAAUGAAUUAUCAUCUUCAUCAUCAACAUCAUUUAACUAAACACAGGCAGACA